rnacentral:rRNA from 1 species
AUGAACGCUGGCGGCGUGCCUAAUACCUGCCAGUCGCGCGAACAGACGAGGAGCUUGCUCCUCUGACGUUAGCGGCGGACGGGUGAGUAACACGUGGAUAACCUACCUAUAAGACUGGGAUAACUUCGGGAAACCGGAGCUAAUACCGGAUAAUAUAUUGAACCGCAUGGUUCAAUAGUGAAAGACGGUUUUGCUGUCACUUAUAGAUGGAUCCGCGCCGCAUUAGCUAGUUGGUAAGGUAACGGCUUACCAAGGCAACGAUGCGUAGCCGACCUGAGAGGGUGAUCGGCCACACUGGAACUGAGACACGGUCCAGACUCCUACGGGAGGCAGCAGUAGGGAAUCUUCCGCAAUGGGCGAAAGCCUGACGGAGCAACGCCGCGUGAGUGAUGAAGGUCUUUGGAUCGUAAAACUCUGUUAUUAGGGAAGAACAAAUGUGUAAGUAACUAUGCACGUCUUGACGGUACCUAAUCAGAAAGCCACGGCUAACUACGUG